rnacentral:rRNA from 1 species
GACGAACGCUGGCGGCGUGCUUAACACAUGCAAGUCGAACGGGUCUGCCCUGUUUUUUGCGGGGUGGGUCAGUGGCGAACGGGUGAGUAACACGUGAGUAACCUGCCCCUCACUUCUGGAUAACCGCUUGAAAGGGUGGCUAAUACGGGGUGUUCUGGCUGUGCCGCAUGGUGUGGCUGGGAAAGAUUCACUUUUGUGGUGUUUUGGUGGGGGAUGGGCUCGCGGCCUAUCAGCUUGUUGGUGGGGUGAUGGCCUGCCAAGGCUUUGACGGGUAGCCGGCCUGAGAGGGUGGGCGGUCACACUGGGACUGAGAUACGGCCCAGACUCCUGCGGGAGGCAGCAGUGGGGGGUAUUGCACAAUGGGCGGAAGCCUGAUGCAGCGACGUCGCGUGAGGGAUGGAGGCCUUCGGGUUGCGAACCUCUUUCGCCGGUGAAGAAGGUCCUGCUCUUUGUGGUGGGGUCGACGGUAGCCGGGUUAUGAAGCGCCGGCUAACUACGUG